rnacentral:rRNA from 1 species
CCUACGUGUGGCAGCAGUGGGGAAUAUUGGACAAUGGGCGAAAGCCUGAUCCAGCCAUGCCGCGUGUGUGAAGAAGGCCUUCGGGUUGUAAAGCACUUUCAGUGGGGAAGAAAGCCUUGGGGCUAAUACCCUCGAGGAAGGACAUCACCCACAGAAGAAGCACCGGCUAACUCCGUGCCAGCAGCCGCGGUAAUACGGAGGGUGCGAGCGUUAAUCGGAAUUACUGGGCGUAAAGCGCGCGUAGGCGGUCUGAUAAGCCGGUUGUGAAAGCCCCGGGCUCAACCUGGGAACGGCAUCCGGAACUGUCAGGCUAGAGUGCAGGAGAGGGAGGUAGAAUUCCCGGUGUAGCGGUGAAAUGCGUAGAGAUCGGGAGGAAUACCAGUGGCGAAGGCGGCCUUCUGAACUGACACUGACGCUGAGGUGCGAAAGCGUGGGUAGCAAACAGGAUUAGAUACCCUAGUAGUC